GGGGGGGGGGGGGGGGGGGGCGGGGGGGGGGGGGGCGGGGGGGGCCGGCGGGUCGGGGGGCGCACGGGGGGGGAACGCGUGGGAACCUGCCCUUGGGUUCGGAAUAACUCCCCGGAAGGGGUGCUCAUCCCGGAUAAUGUCUGCGGACCAAAGAUGUAUCGCCUUUGGAUGGGCCCGCGUCGGAUUAGCUAGUUGGUAGGGUAAAAGCCUACCAAGGCGCCGAUCCAUAGCUGGUCUGAGAGGAUGCUCAGCCACACUGGGACUGAGCCACGGCCCAGACUCCUACGGGAGGCAGCAGUGGGGAAUAUUGGACAAUGGGCGAAAGCCUGAUCCAGCAAUGCCGCGUGAGUGAUGAAGGCCUUAGGGUUGUAAAGCUCUUUUACCCGGGAUGAUAAUGACAGUACCGGGAGAAUAAGCUCCGGCUAACUCCGUG
rnacentral:rRNA from 1 species